rnacentral:tRNA from 1 species
GCCGCCAUCGCAUAAUCUGGUAUUGCACAGGCCUGGAAAGCCUGGCCCGCAAGGGCAUCCCGGUUCAAAUGUGCUCGAGGGGUUAACUCCCUUCGGUUGUUGAAAGUCCGGGUGGCGGCG